GGGAAUAUAGUUUAAUUUAGGUAAAAUAUAUGUUUUGCAUGCAUAAGAUUAUGGGUUCGAAUCCGAUUAUUUCCA
rnacentral:tRNA from 1 species